CAGGUUAGGCCAUGUUAUCUCUCUGAAGGGUCCUGAUGGAGGCACUAUCUACUGAUAGGGGCCUCCACAGGUUCAUUGGGUUCAGUCCCACAGCUGAAGAGUUUCUUCUUCCU